GAACGGGGAUAAGGGGAGCUUGCUUUCCUUAUCUUAGUGGCGGACGGGUGAGUAACGCGUGGAUAACCUGGCCCAUACAGGGGGAUAGCAGCUGGAAACGGCUGGUAAUACCGCAUAAGCGCACAGUACGGCAUCGUACGGUGUGAAAAACUCCGGUGGUAUGGGAUGGGUCCGCGUCUGAUUAGGCAGUUGGCGGGGUAAAGGCCCACCAAACCGACGAUCAGUAGCCGGCCUGAGAGGGUGGGCGGCCACAUUGGGACUGAGACACGGCCCAAACUCCUACGGGAGGCAGCAGUGGGGAAUAUUGCACAAUGGGGGAAACCCUGAUGCAGCGACGCCGCGUGGGUGAAGAAGUAUUUCGGUAUGUAAAGCCCUAUCAGCAGGGAAGAUAGUGACGGUACCUGAGUAAGAAGCCCCGGCUAACUACGUGCCAGCAGCCGCGGUAAUACGUAGGGGGCAAGCGUUAUCCGGAUUUACUGGGUGUAAAGGGAGCGUAGACGGCAACGCAAGCCUGGAGUGAAAGGAUGGGGCCCAACCCCAUGACUGCUCUGGGAACUGCGCGGCUGGAGUGCCGGAGGGGUAAGCGGAAUUCCUAGUGUAGCGGUGAAAUGCGUAGAUAUUAGGAGGAACACCAGUGGCGAAGGCGGCUUACUGGA
rnacentral:rRNA from 1 species